rnacentral:lncRNA from 1 species
AAAUAAUAUAAAUUGGAUCUGGAAGGGACUUCAGAAAUUGUCUGCUAAAAUUAUAAUAAGCGACUGAGUUUUCUCAAGGCUUCUGUUCCAGUACAGACCCACUGAAUAAAUGGUAGGUACUUAGAAAUGUUUAGCAUACAAAUUUUCUGCAGUUCAGUAGCCAACACAACCCAGUGAGCUCUUCCGAGAAUUUAACAAUUUACCUGGUUAUAGGAAUUAUGGGAAUAGAAAGUACUAAAAACUUAACCUUCACUGAGUAUAUUGAAUACUUCUGCAGUCUUAUUACUAGUGCUUUUAUUAGGAUCAAGACUCUGAGCUCUGCUUUGAAGUGAAUGGAAAGCCAAGAGAGCCACAAAGUAAAUCUUCACAUCAGUCUUCAUUGCUAAUGAGGUAUAUAUGAGCAAAUAGAAGGGAGAUGGGAUCGAUAAGUCUAAGCAACAAAGAAGUGGACUGUAAAACCUGACAAUGUGCAGCCAAAUAAGGAAAAUCACCAUCAAACAUGUUUUAAAAGUACAUUCAUUCACAUCAAAGGAAGUCCAAGUACAAGAGGGACAGCUUGGACACUUGAAUCUAGUAUAGAAUCCAGGCUUCAAGAAAGACAUCUGCCAUAGGCGACAGAACACCUGCACUGCAGUCUUCUCUCCAACCAGUCUGCAUUCCUGCCAAGAAAAGGAUAAUCAUUUCUUCCCAGAACAAGGAUGAUCUAGAGUGGUUGACCAGCCUGCUUUCCUAUAGUUACAUAUCUCUUUGUACCUUAUUGAUUAUCCAAGGAGUGGCAUGAAGUACUUAGAAAAAUAUUAAAUUUUGCUAAAAUAUUGAUCUUCAGAGACCCCAG